rnacentral:RNase_P_RNA from 1 species
UCAGAAGGUCGGGCGGCCGCUUGCGCUUUUUAGUGUGAGAGGAAAGUCCGGGCUUCACGGAAACACGAUACCGGAUAACGUCCGGAGAGCGUAAGCUCAUGGAAAGUGCCACAGAAAAUAUACCGCCGAUGGCCUUCGGGUACAGGUAAGGUUGAAAUGGUGCGGUAAGAGCGCACCGCGUCUUUGGUAACAAAGGCGGCAGGGUAAACCCUAUCGGAAGCAAGACCAAAUAGGCGUUGCAUGGUUUCGGCCGGAUGCGUUUCCGCAUCGCAAUGCGGGUUGGUUGCUUGACGGUGAUGGUAACAUCACUGCCAGAUGAAUGGUCGCCUAUCUUUGUGGUUUCGGCUGCAAAGGGGACAGAACCCGGCUUACAGAUCUUCUGAUAUU